rnacentral:rRNA from 1 species
GUGGGGAAUUUUGGACAAUGGGGGCAACCCUGAUCCAGCCAUGCCGCGUGCAGGAAGAAGGCCUUCGGGUUGUAAACUGCUUUUGUACGGAACGAAACGGUCCGGGUUAAUACCCUGGGCUAAUGACGGUACCGUAAGAAUAAGCACCGGCUAACUACGUGCCAGCAGCCGCGGUAAUACGUAGGGUGCAAGCGUUAAUCUGAAUUACUGGGCGUAAAGCGUGCGCAGGCGGUUUUGUAAGACAGGCGUGAAAUCCCCGGGCUCAACCUGGGAAUUGCGCUUGUGACUGCAAGGCUGGAGUGCGGCAGAGGGGGAUGGAAUUCCGCGUGUAGCAGUGAAAUGCGUAGAUAUGCGGAGGAACACCGAUGGCGAAGGCAAUCCCCUGGGCCUGCACUGACGCUCAUGCACGAAAGCGUGGGGAGCAAACAGGAUUAGAUACCCGAGUAGUCC